AUCCGCCUGUAGACGCAUAUAAAUUUUUAUUACAAAUAGGUACAAAGUAGGAAGUGUAGAAGCGACUGGUCAGGUACGAAGUACUAUCGUUCGAGAAAUCUUUAUAUUCCUACUAACCGCUUUGUGUUUGUGUUAAUCCGAUGUCUUUCUGGCCAAAAUAGACUUUAAUAAUCAGUGUUGUUAUUAAUAAUUAAUAAUAUAGACAGUGAUAAUUACUUAAGUUACCUAUUCGAGAGGAGUUUUUCCAUUGCACGGAAUUUAACCUUUAAGAUAAUUGAAACCAAUGGUAAUUCCUUCAAGUUAAAUUUCGCUAGACGAAAGAAAAACGACAAGAAAUCAGGAAUUCUGCUGUUUGCUAUUGAAAUAGUGCAUCAGUAUACAUUUGUAUUACAAAACAAAUGCAGUUAAACAAUAAUACAAACAAAAGACAGGCUGGACAGGAUCUGUGCUUGGCUGGCCUAAAGAAUGUUUAGCGUUUAUAAUACGAAACCUGUUUAAAAAUAAAAAAAAAACACCUUGGGCAGUGAGUAAAUCAUUUAAAUUCUUCCAUUCGCCACUAAACCUUGAUGAAAAAAAUAACGGACCCAUGUGGAACCAUACCAAUGCAUAAGGAUUAAGUACAACAAUUUCAUGCAUAUUUACUUUUCUUCUUAAAAGUAGAACGAAUUAAAAAACCGAUAGCAUAGUGUGUACAGUGAACAAAUCAAUUUUAUGAAAAGUGG